rnacentral:rRNA from 1 species
GUGGGGAAUAUUGGACAAUGGGCGAAAGCCUGAUCCAGCAAUGCCGCGUGAGUGAAGAAGGCCUUCGGGUUGUAAAGCUCUUUUACCCGGGAAGAUAAUGACUGUACCGGGAGAAUAAGCCCCGGCUAACUCCGUGCCAGCAGCCGCGGUAAUACGGAGGGGGCUAGCGUUGUUCGGAAUUACUGGGCGUAAAGCGCACGUAGGCGGUCUUUUAAGUCAGAGGUGAAAGCCCGGGGCUCAACUCCGGAAUUGCCUUUGAAACUGGAAGACUUGAACACGGGAGAGGUGAGUGGAAUUCCGAGUGUAGAGGUGAAAUUCGUAGAUAUUCGGAGGAACACCAGUGGCGAAGGCGGCUCACUGGACCGUUGUUGACGCUGAGGUGCGCAAGCGUGGGGAGCAAACAGGAUUAGAUACCCUGGUAGUCC